rnacentral:rRNA from 1 species
UACGGAGGGGGCCAGCGUUGUUCGGAAUUACUGGGCGUAAAGCGCACGUAGGCGGACCAGCAAGUUAGGGGUGAAAUCCCGGGGCUCAACCCCGGAACUGCCUUUAAAACUGUUGGUCUGGAGGUCGAGAGAGGUGAGUGGAAUUCCGAGUGUAGAGGUGAAAUUCGUAGAUAUUCGGAGGAACACCAGUGGCGAAGGCGGCUCACUGGCUCGAUACUGACGCUGAGGUGCGAAAGCGUGGGGAGCAAACAGG